UGCAAGUCGAGCGGUAAGGCCUCACUUGUGGGGUACACGAGCGGCGAACGGGUGAGUAACACGUGAGUAAUCUGCCCUUCACUUUGGGAUAAGCACCGGAAACGGUGUCUAAUACCGGAUAUAACAUGGCCGCGCAUGUGGUUGUGUGGAAACUUUUUUGGGUGGGGGAUGUGCUCGCGGCCUAUCAGCUUGAUGGUGGGGUAAUGGCCUACCAUGGCGUCGACGGGUAGCCGGCCUGAGAGGGUGACCGGUCACACUGGGACUGAGACACGGCCCAGACUCC
rnacentral:rRNA from 1 species